UCCUCCUCCCUCCCCCACCGCCCUUUCCCUCCUCCAAUCUCUGAUCAAUAUCCAGAGUCUUCCACCUCAGUGUCCUUAGUCCCUCUUUCCUCCUCCUCCCCUCACCCAGGCCUUCUAGGUGCACCUCUCCGCAGGCGUCCUCUCGGGGCCCCCACUGCCUAAACACUCUCUCCUCCAGCUCUCACUCAUGCUCUCCCUAGACAUGCCUCUGUGUUCAGAAAGAGACCACAUUAAGGUGUGCAGCUGCACAGCACGGCACCCAGGGCUCACACUGGCGAUGAGCCACCGCGCAGACGGCAGCGAAGGCAGCCCCUCUCUGGAAGCCAACACCCAUUGCAGGAGACGACGUGUCAACCAAAGUUCACACCAGCCAGGGAAACAAGCUUGAGGAACCUGAUCAGGUACGUGCCCUCAUCGCCCAGAUUCACAGAGGAGGAAACCAGGACGUGGGGAUGCGCGCGAACCUCCUCGAGGCUACACAGCCCUGAGUGUGAAAGGCUCGCCAGAUUUCAAAAGCUUCAACAUGCAGAAGGCAAGAUGGCGCAUUAAUAAUUUUUAAAAUACUGAUUGCGUGCUAAAACGUCCGUAUUUGGGGUAUGUAGGGCUGAAUAUAUUGCAGGCAAUUGAACCUGGCUCUUUCCACCUCUUUUAACAUGACUA